rnacentral:tRNA from 1 species
GCUGCAGAUAGCUCAGAUGGUAAGAGCACGAGACUCUUAAUCUCAUGGUUGUGGGUUCGAGCCCCACGUUGGGCA